AUGCGAUUCAUCGUGGUCUCCUCGGGACACCUCCUGGGCGCAGGGCUGGACCGGCUGGCCCACGGGUGGGGAGAUUCAGGGCGCGAGUGGGUGCCGCGGGGACGGGGCUGGUCCUCCCCGCCUGGGUCUGGCCCUGGCCUGUGUAUGAAGACCCAGGAUGGUCCCGGCGCGCUGGCCCCUGCUGGGGAAGGAGGUGACCCGCGGUGGGCGGCGCGGGGUCCCUGCGCUGGGCUGGGCUCCAUGUUCUCGACCCCCUCUGCCCUGCUCCUCGCUCUGUCCCGAGGGUGCUCCUGCCUGGUGGCCCGGCAGAGGGCGCCAGCUCCCGAUCGCUGCGCGGGCCGGCGGAGGGGAGGGGACUUGUGCGAGCCUCCAGGUAAGGAGCGUAGUGAAUCAUCCCGAGAGGGGGGACCCGGCCCGCGCUCCGCGAAAGGAGGCGGGGAGUGGCCGUGGUGCAGUCGAGAAGUCGGGGCUGCCGAGUUGCUGUCCGGCGGGAAGCGGCGAUUCUGCCACCCGGAGGUCUGGGGAAAGCUGAGGAAGGUGAGGAACGUCCCUCCGCGCGGUGGCCAAGGGGUAGGGGGCGGCGGCGUAGGGCUAAGGCCGGCAGACACUUGGACGCGCCACUGCGCGCCCUUCUCCGGGGCCGCAGGUGGGUCCCUUUUACCCUGGCUCUGGGCGCUUUUGCCGGGGACGGCGACGGGAACCUGGGAGCGCCGGCAGGGAGGGGGCGGCCGAUGCUGGGGCCGCGGCGCUGGGGCGCUCCCGGCGGCCCGCGGGUCCCCGAGCAAUAACAAAGGCGCGGCGCGGCCACUGCUCCCACCCACUUCCGUCCCCGGCGCGCCCUGGCGCGCGCAGCCGGGAGGUGCGAGCCGGUCAGGAUUUCCCUCUGCGGAGUUUCGGGAAGUUAGCACGGCGGCCCGUUACGCUGGGAGGAGGGGCGGGGAAGGGGCGGCCCGUGGAGCUGCGCGCGUGUGGUCCGCACUGCGACGUCGUCGGUUUCCUUUCCGGACCGCGCGGGCCAGGGGCGCGAGCUCGCGCGCCCUGCUCCGGGCCCGGGGUCUCGCCUCCGCGGGGCCCGCGCGGGUUUGA
rnacentral:lncRNA from 1 species